rnacentral:snRNA from 1 species
GGAUGUGAGGGUGACCCGGCUGCGACAUCUGUCACCCCACUGAUCGCCAGGUUGAUCUGGCUGAUCUCGCUGGCUAGGCAGGUGUGCCUUUCCUCCCUCACCACUCCAUGUGCGUCCCUCCUGAAGCUGCGCACUUGAUCGAAGAGGACAAACUUCCUCGGGAGAGAAGGACGGGUCUUCAGCUAAGGGUAUACGAGUAGCUGCACUCCCCUGCUAGAACCUCCCCACAAGCUCUCAAGGAAGGCACACAGGUCCUCAAUUAAAUAUGGGAGCUACAGAGUUGGUCUCAAAUUAGUUCCAGGAAGGGUAAGAGAAGGGAGGGAGGAAGAGUGGAAGGUUAUUAG